rnacentral:rRNA from 1 species
UGCAAGUCGAGGGGAAACGACAUCGAAAGCUUGCUUUUGAUGGGCGUCGACCGGCGCACGGGUGAGUAACGCGUAUCCAACCUGCCCACCACUUGGGGAUAACCUUUCGAAAGAAAGAUUAAUACCCGAUGGCAUAAUUCUUCCGCAUGGUAGAAUUAUUAAAGAAUUUCGGUCAUCGAUGGGGAUGCGUUCCAUUAGGUUGUUGGCGGGGUAACGGCCCACCAAGGCAACGAUCAGUAGGGGGUUCUGAGAGGAAGAUCCCCCACAUUGGAACUGAGACACGGUCCAAACUCC